GGAAGAGAAAGGGAGGAGAAAGACUGGAUGGACAUAAGCUAAGAAGAACAGCAGAGAGAAGGCAACAAAAGGGAGCCAAAGCCCUGUUUGAGAAUUCCAAAAAGGGGAAUUCACCAAACAGCCGAUCCCAGCCAGCAAUUAAGCUCAGGCUAAUCUGCAAGCACAGCCAUUCUUUGCAAUGGUGAUGUUUCCAAGCCUUUGUUAAUUCCUUUGUUUCUUUAAAGUUUCCAGCUUUACCUAUGGAUAUAAGAUGGCUUCUCGAUUUACAGGGUGUCCUAUGAACAGAUUGAACUGCAGCUUCCAGACUGGCCAGCUGACUGAUCUGGAGAAGGUGACCAAAAGCACAUGGUUGGAGAGGGUUGCUUUUCCCUGAAGGACUGCCUGAUUUAAAUCUCCCUUUAGAUAAUGAAGGCUGAUAGGAAAGGAGGGUGGAGCUUUACAGUUGAUGAGCAGAUAGAAAUGUCCCCGUCCCAGAAAUGGCAAAUUUGAUGCAUAUUCAAAAUGGAUCAACUUUUUUGGCUGCCACUUGAUUUCAACAAGAGUUCUAGUAUUAAAAAAAAAAAACCCUAUCCUGUUAUCUGAACUAAGAGUGAUUUUUAUAAG